rnacentral:rRNA from 1 species
GACGAACGCUGGCGGCGUGCUUAACACAUGCAAGUCGAACGGAAAGGCCCUGCGUUUGUGGUGUGCUCGAGUGGCGAACGUGUCAGUAACACGUCAGUAACCUGCCCCUGGCUUUGGUACAACUUCAGGAAACUAAGGCUAAUUCCGCAUAGCAGCCCCCGCUGCAGGGGGUGGGAUGGAUAGUUUCGGCGGGUGGGGAUGGACUCGCGGCUUAUCAGCUUGUUGGUGGGGUAGUGGCUUACCAAGGCUUUGACGGGUAGCCGGCCUGAGAGGGUGACCGGCCACACUGGGACUGAGAUACGGCCCAGACUCCUACGGGAGGCAGCAGUGGGGAAUAUUGCACAAUGGGCGGAAGCCUGAUGCAGCGACGCCGCGUGCGGGAUGACGGCCUUCGGGUUGUAAACCGCUUUCGCCUGUGACGAAGCGUGAGUGACGGUACUGGGUGAAGAAGCACCGGCUAACUACGUG